AUACCUUUCUCGGCCUUUUGGCUAAGAUCAAGUGUAGUAUCUGUUCUUAUCAGUUUAAUAUCUGAUACGUGGCCCAUCGGGCCACAUGAUAUUAAAUUAAUUUUUUAGUGGGGGAGGGACCACCUCGCUAGCUUGCUAGUGGGUCCCUUGAGCGUCGACCGUGCGUAGCACUGCGGCAUGGGCCUGGCGCACCCCUA
rnacentral:snRNA from 1 species